rnacentral:rRNA from 1 species
AACGCGAAGAACCUUACCUGGUCUUGACAUCCCAGGAACCAAAAAGAGAUUUAGGGGUGCCGCAAGGAGCCUGGAGACAGGUGCUGCAUGGCUGUCGUCAGCUCGUGUCGUGAGAUGUUGGGUUAAGUCCCGCAACGAGCGCAACCCUUGUCCUUAGUUGCCAGCAUUAAGUUGGGCACUCUAAGGAGACCGCCGGUGACAAACCGGAGGAAGGUGGGGAUGACGUCAAGUCAUCAUGGCCUUUAUGACCAGGGCUACACACGUGCUACAAUGGUAGAUACAGAGGGUUGCCAACGCGCAAGCGGGAGCCAAUCCCAGAAAAUCUAUCGUAGUCCGGAUUGGAGAUCUGCAACUCGACUCCAAGAAGUGGGAAUCGCUAGUAAUCGCAGAUCAGCAUUGCUGUCGGUGAAUACGUUCCGGGGUCUUGUACACACCG